rnacentral:tRNA from 1 species
GGUCCGAUGGCGGAAUCGGUAGACGCCCGGGAUUUAAAAUCCCGUGCUUGUUUUGCAAGCGUGCGAGUUCAAGUCUCGCUCGGACCACCA